rnacentral:lncRNA from 1 species
CAACAUAAUGAAACACACUUUGAUCAAUCCACGAUCUUAUCAGACCAAUAGUGUUCAUGUUUCCAAAUUGCAUAAUUGUAGCCUUGAGAUUAAUCAUGCAACCUGCUGUCCAAUCCUCCAUUUAAUUGGCAUAAGAAAAUCACAAAAAUAACCAAGCUUUGAUACCACUGUUAUAGUGAAAUUGCACGAUCCAUCCCACAUCAAUU